GACCAGCGUGUCUCCAGUUCUCACCGUGAUGUCAUCGCGGCUAAAUAAGCCUCACUGGUGCGUCUGGAGACACAAGGACGGGCAAAGAGUGUCGCUGUCUAAAUCAAAAAUUGCGCAAUUUCCAUCCGAGACGAGCGAUUUCCCUCCCCGGUAAAGUCACACGCAGCGAGGCGUCAUAUGUUGUCUGGCUCCCGGUGAAACGGCCAGACCUCACGUCCUCAGCCUGCGAUCUCCAGAAUACUAACCAGACCGACAGGGAGAGAGAGAGAGGGAAUGAAGGGGGGGUUACGUCAACCUUAACAUCUCUACAACACGCUCCCUAAUGCAAACUUCAACACCUUGCAGCGCAAUCAGCAAAUCAACACGGCGCUGACGUCAACGCAGCCAGUCAGCCAGACGAGCAGCAGGCAGGCGGCAGCCGGCGCUGCGCUCCAGCCCGCACAAACACUGAGAAAGUGAGACACCUAGGGGGCUGUCUCGAAUCAAACGGCUGUGUUACAGUAUGGAGAGUGAAAGGUGAGCGGCACUGCCCUCCCUUCCAGCUGCAUGGACGCGUAUCCAGCCUCCGGUCUCUCCGUCUCCUCACAGGAGCUGCGUAGAAGCUUUGGAGGGCUGAUGGGAAAGAAUGGGGACUCCAGGAAGCCCUCCUGCUCCUCCUGCAACAGAUUUCCUAAGAGGUAGCAGAAAAAUGAGUCCACACUUGAAGGCACCUCCUGACAAAACAAUUAAAAAAAAUCUAAUCUAACAACUCAAACAUUAUAUGUAUUUGAAUCACCCUCAGGGGACAAAUAGUUUUUUUUAAUUGAAUUGGACACUGACAGGUUCCUGGAGCACACAUAUUCUGCUUUCUCAUUGAAGCAAACAUUUAGUUUUGACACACUCACCAUGACUUACACCAGCUGAACUCUGUGCAUCUAUUUCUAGAGGAACUUGGAAAGUUAGUUAUUUUUGCUCAUUCUGUACAUAAUUAUGCCUUUAUUUUUUAUAUAUCUCUAUGUCCCCAGUGCACUCUGCUCUUAUCUCUUAUCUCUGUGUAUUUUGUAUGUUUAAUAUUGGUUUUUGUCUUAUUUUGAAAGUGAAGGCCUCCAACAUGGAAAUAUCAGUCCUGACUCCUGUGAUGUCUUCAGAAUUCUUCAUCAAGCUUUUGUUGUGCCCAAAACACCAGAUUUUCAUCUGAUUUCAGUGAUUUUCUACACAUCAGAUGUCACUUUGAUGAGUUCUGCCACAGAAUCUCUGUUGUUUCCAAAUACUGACACUAAUUUGAAGAAAAUCCCAGAACAAAUGAGGAAGUUAAUUUAUUGCUUUAUUAAAAUGUUUGGUGUAGUGAGUGACUCUCAGCCUGAUGGUUUUGCCUGUGAUGCUUUAAUCCUCCACUUACUGUGACUUAAACCAAACCAACGUUUUGCAUGAGGAAGGUGCACAGAAGACUACAGUUUUUUAGCUUUUGUAGCUUUAGUGCAUACAUGAUGUACAUAAUUAAGCCUUUCAUUUUGUUUUUUGAAUGUCCCUCAGGAUCAAUAAAGUACCUUCCUUCCAUAUCCUAAAGUUUUAAUCAUUGCAGGUGCAAUAAUAAAUGUAUUUUUUGCUAUUUAGGCAGUCUAAUGAAAACCCUGGGAGCUGCAAAAUAAACAAAUGUACACAAACAAAGCUCAUUUUCCUGUUUUCAGCAGAAAGUGUUCCUGUCCUCUGCCUCCACUCUGAAGCCCUCGGCUCAGUUUCUCAGCUCUAAGAACUAGUGUCAGUUUUUCUACUCAACUUUGCUCGCUGUAUGAAAAACUUGCCCGGUCAUGUCUGGCAGGAAGACGUGACAGAAAUUGGUUUCUAUUUAUUUACGAGGCACUGAAGACGCCACUGUACAUGAAGUCUCUUUUAAACUCAGUCAUUUCUCUACUCAAGCAGCCGGCCAAUUUUUGAUGCAUAUCCUGAAUCUGCUUACAACCUAAAAUAAAACCAGAAGGUCAUUUUAAAACAUGAUUACAGACUAUAAAGUGAUUUGAAUGUGAUCUGUUGUUUGUCUUCUCAUUGUUUUUAUUCUGUUUUUGACUGAACCCAACAUUACUAAAAAUAAAGUGAUGCUUCGUUGCCAUUCAAAUAAAGGUUAAAUUGAAUAUU